rnacentral:rRNA from 1 species
CAAUAGCGUAUAUUAAAGUUGUUGCAGUUAAAAAGCUCGUAGUUGGAUUUCUGAUCGAGACAUCAGGUCGGGUCCGAGAGGAUCAUGUACUUUGAUUUUGUUUUGAUCAUCCUUGGGGAGAGCAUUUCUGGCAUUCAGUUGUCGGGAUUGGGAUCCUCAUCGUUUACUGUGAAAAAAUUAGAGUGUUCAAAGCAGGCCUCGGCCUCUGAAUACAUUAGCAUGGAAUAAUAAGAUAGGACUUUGGUGGUCUAUUUUGUUGGUUUGCACGCCAAAGUAAUGAUUAAUAGGGAUAGUCGGGGGUAUUCGUAUUCAAUUGUCAGAGGUGAAAUUCUUGGAUUUAUGGAAGACGAACUACUGCGAAAGCAUUUACCAAGGAUGUUUUCAUUAA